GUGUUCCGCAGUGAUAAGCGAUGGAGAUCUUGGUCUGAUGGACCAUUUAAAGAAAGAGCAUUGGUCUUCCGAGGAAUCAUCGUCUUUAAGUUCUGAAGAUAUGGAGGAAAAAGAAUUUAAUAAGUGUAGAGAUUGUGGCAAGUCCUUUUCAGCAAAGAGCAACUUAAGAAAGCACAAACGAUUGGGUCGCUGUAAAGGGACCUCACAGGAACAAGAAAGGUAAGAACUAUACCACGAGGUAAUAGUAAUAAUAAUAAUAAUUAUUAUAAUUAUAAUAAUAAUAAUGAUUAAUUAUAGUAAUAAUAAUUAAUAGUAUGGAUCUUCAUAGCUCAAUUGGUAGAGCAAAUGUGUCUUGCCCUCAACUGAAUUCCAAAAAUAAUGGUCUACUAGGUUUGUUAUUUAAGAGUAUAUUAUGACGUCCAAUCUGUUUCUUGUCGUUUUUUGCUACGGAUGGCAAGGAUGGAAAUGGAUUGAAACUUGAAAAAGGUGGGGCCAACCUUUUCAAGUUUUGAUGCUAUCUCAACAAAAAAUAACAAAAACGUUAUUAUGGGUUGCUCUUUUUGAUACAAUCCAUUGGAUAUCCAUCUCAUAAAACCACUAAGUAACGAUUUUAGC